rnacentral:rRNA from 1 species
CCUACGUGAGGCAGCAGUGAGGAAUAUUGGUCAAUGGGCGCGAGCCUGAUCCAGCCAAGUCGCGUGAAGGAUGACUGCCCUACGGGUUGUAAACUUCUUUUAUAAAGGAAUAAAGUGAGGCACGUGUGCCUUUUUGUCUGUCCUUUAUGAUUAAGGAUCGGCCAACUCCGUGCCAGCAGCCGCGGUAAUACGGAGGAUCUGAGCGUUAUCCGGAUUUAUUGGGUUUAACGGGCGCGUAGAUGGGUUGUUAAGUCAGUCGUGAAAGUUUGCGGCUCAACCGUAAAAUUGCAAUUGAUACUGGCAGUCUGGAGUACAGGUGAGGUAGGCGGAAUUCGUGGUGUAGCGGUGAAAUGCUUAGAUAUCACGAAGAACUCCGAUUGCGAAGGCAGCUUACUAAACUGCCACUGACAUUGAUGCUCGAAGGUGUGGGUAGCAAACAGGAUUAGAUACCCUGGUAGUC